rnacentral:rRNA from 1 species
AUGUGAGAUGCAGUGUAUGGAAUGUCAAAUUUCUAGUAUGAGAAAUUAACGAUUUAAGUCCUUCUUAAAUGAGGCCAUUUACCCACAGAGGGUGCCAGGCCCGUAUAACGUUAAUGAUUACUAGAUGGCAUUUCCAAAGAGUCGUGUUGCUUGAUAGUGCAGCACUAAGUGGGUGGUAAACUCCAUCUAAAACUAAAUAUAACCAUGAGACCGAUAGUAAACAAGUACCGUGAGGGAAAGU